UUUUGACUGGUAUGGUAUCAACUCAGGGUGACAACAUUGGUUGUCAUGGGGAUGGGGAUUAUUAUGCAAUAAAAUGUACUUGGUUUAUGGGACACAAUCUUUGCACACUUUGCAUUCCUGGGAGUAAUGAAAGGCUCCGUUGGAAGAUGCUGCUCACGCAACAGCGUCUCUCUAGGCCACUGUCCUCUCCUCCAGAGGCCUCUCUGCCCGGCCUGGCUCCAUCGGCAGCUUAAGAGUUGGGCCCAGGAGGCUUGUCCUUGUCGCCGUUCCCCAGAACAGCGGGAGGAUCCUUCCAGGUCACCAGCGUGCAAAAGGCAUGUCAGCAUUGUUAUAUACCUGAAGAAGAUUCCGAAUAGAAUGCUCCUUGACAACAGCACCCAAGAAAUGUGAUUCAGUCCACAGACAUUUCCUCUGGAUCUGGUGCUAAACGUGCAGUUCACCAGGCCACUUCUCUUCCCCACACCGACUGGGCGGCCAGGUACACUACUCGAGCUUGGACUGUUGGGAGGAUUGCCUUCACUGCUGUCUCAAGGUUGCCCCUGUGAGAACGUGCGGCCUGGCCACCACCCAGUUUCAGCUUGCACCCACGUGUGGAGCUAACCUCUCUGUGGAACAAACUGGGCCUUUUCAUCCUUUUCAACUGGAGGUACAGGACCCCCUUUC